rnacentral:misc_RNA from 1 species
GAUGAAGAACGUAGCGAAAUGCGAUAAGUAAUGUGAAUUGCAGAAUUCAGUGAAUCAUCGAAUCUUUGAACGCACAUUGCGCCCGCCAGUAUUCUGGCGGGGAUGCCUGUUCGAGCGUCAUUUCAACCAUCAAGCCCCAGGCUUGUGUUGGGGACCUGCGGCUGCCGCAGGCCCUGAAAACCAGUGGCGGGCUCGCUGUCACACCGGGCGUAGUAGAUUUUAUCUCGCUCAGGGCGUGCUGCGGGUUCCGGCCGUUAAAAAGCCUUUUUUACCCAAGGUUGACCUCGGAUCAGGUAGGAAGACCCGCUGAACUUAAGCAUAUCAAUAAGCGGAGGA